rnacentral:rRNA from 1 species
UACGGGGGGAGCAAGCGUUGUUCGGAUUUACUGGGCGUAAAGGGCGCGUAGGCGGCCACCGCAAGUCGACUGUGAAAUCUCCGGGCUUAACCCGGAAAGGUCAGCCGAUACUGCGGGGCUAGAGUGCAGAAGGGGCAACUGGAAUUCUCGGUGUAGCGGUGAAAUGCGUAGAUAUCGAGAGGAACACCUGCGGCGAAGGCGGGUUGCUGGGCUGACACUGGCGCUGAGGCGCGAAAGCUAGGGGAGCGAACGGG